GGUGUCAUUACUCAGUGGUACAAGAGUGCGUGCAUGCGUGUUGGGGGGGGAAUAAUUGUGCCAUUAAUGAUUGCUAUUUUGAUUACAGGAUGCAAUUGUCACUGCGGUUGGAAGCCAAUCAACGCGUUGUGAGUGGGAACCUGCUGGUACUUUCCAAUGGUCCUUGAUUAAAAAGGAAGCUCUUGGCUAUCUUCAAGCAGCAGGAGAGGAAACAGCGCGGCGAAGAUACUCAGAUGCAGUGGAAUUCAAGCAUGAAACUAAACAGCUUCUCAGAUAUUAUCUAUUCAGCCAUCUGCUUGACAGACAAUGGAUAACCUUCCAGAUUCAUGGAGCUGCAUCUGCCUUUUAAUCCUGGUAAAAAAGGGAAAAGGUUACAUUGUGAUAUCAUCAGGAGCAAUAUUGGACAACCUAGGACCUCCUACGUUUGGCCUAUGACUGAAGAUCUCCAUCCUCCUCCAACAAGAAGCACACUGCAAUCCCUCCUAAAUCCAGUUAGUUGGAUGGGACCAGAAAGGUGCCUGAAACUGCUUAUCUGUGGGAGCUGCUCCUGUCAUUACAUCCCUGGUGAGGACAGCAGGCAUUGCACAAGAAGGAACCUGCAGUGAUAUUGAUGCUCCACUAGCUCCAACCAAGGUACAACCUGCUUCACUUUCCACGUAGCUCAGAGGGAAAUCAGAAUAGUUCAACAACUGAACUUGCAUUUAGUGCAGAGUGCCCUGAGUGGGAGGGAAGGGUAAGGAAAUCUAUUUAGGUAAAGGCAAAACAUUUUGCUUGACAGGUUUUUUUUUGUUUUUUUUUUUUUUUUUUUUUUUUAAUUUAACGUGAAUUAAGAAAUGGUUGAGUGCCACGAAAACAAAAUGAAAGCUUUCAUUUUGGGUCAAAUGGGAUGUUGC
rnacentral:lncRNA from 1 species